rnacentral:rRNA from 1 species
AGAGUUUGAUCAUGGCUCAGAGUGAACGCUGGCGGCAGGCCUAAUACAUGCAAGUCGAACGGCAGCACAGCAGAGCUUGCUCUGUGGGUGGCGAGUGGCGGACGGGUGAGGAAUACGUGGGAAUCUGCCCAGUCGUGGGGGAUAACGUAGGGAAACUUACGCUAAUACCGCAUGCGCCCUUCGGGGGAAAGCCGGGGACCUUCGGGCCUGGCGCGAUUGGAUGAGCCCACGUCGGAUUAGCUAGUUGGCGGGUAAAGCCCACCAAGGCGACGAUCCGUAGCUGGGUCUGAGAGGAUGAUCAGCCACACUGGAACUGAGACACGGUCCAGACUCCUACGGGAGGCAGCAGUAGGGAAUAUUGGACAAUGGGCGCAAGCCUGAUCCAGCCAUGCCGCGUGAGUGAAGAAGGCCCUCGGGUUGUAAAGCUCUUUUGUCCGGAAAGGAAAGCGCCGGGUUAAUACCCUGGUGUCCUGACGGUACCGGAAGAAUAAGCACCGGCUAACUUCGUG